AGUUUACUGUAUUUUGUCGUGUAGCGUACCAUACUACUUGUGUUCAUUCCAACAUCAACAUACUUCUUAAUGGAGAAGGAGAUCAACAACAACAACAGAGAAAAGAACAAGAAGAACAUAAACAGGAAUAUGAGCAAGAAAUGAGAGGAAGGAGUGGGGAUUUACCUUUCUACAAUGAGAUGAGAAGCAACCGCAUUAUGUCACAGAUUUAGAGCACGAAGUGAUGACCUACAAUUCGCCGCGCUAAGCCUCCUCUUUAAUUUCUCAAUUAUCCUGAUCGUCAUCGCUGUUGACACGUUAUCAAUUAUGUCAGCUUAACAGACCGCAAAAAUGUCAUUUGGCAACAGAAAUGUCAUCAAUCAUUACGAUCUUUGUAGGUCGGUGAGAUUGAAUGAGGAUUCAUACUGCAAAUAAAUAGCCUAGUAUAACCCCGGUUUUGGAACGUAAGGUGGUGUGACAAAAUGGCAAUGUAAAUUAAAAGCUAGUUCUUCU
rnacentral:misc_RNA from 1 species